rnacentral:rRNA from 1 species
AGGACGAACGCUGGCGGCGUGCUUAACACAUGCAAGUCGAGCGGUAAGGCCUUUCGGGGUACACGAGCGGCGAACGGGUGAGUAACACGUGGGUGAUCUGCCCUGCACUCUGGGAUAAGCCUGGGAAACUGGGUCUAAUACCGGAUAUGACCUGCUCUCGCAUGGGGGGUGGGUGGAAAGAUUUAUUGGGUGCAGGAUGGGCCCGCGGCCUAUCAGCUUGUUGGUGGGGUAAUGGCCUACCAAGGCGACGACGGGUAGCCGACCUGAGAGGGUGACCGGCCACACUGGGACUGAGACACGGCCCAGACUCCUACGGGAGGCAGCAGUGGGGAAUAUUGCACAAUGGGCGAAAGCCUGAUGCAGCGACGCCGCGUGAGGAUGAAGGCCUUCGGGUUGUAAACCUCUUUCAGUCGAGGGCGAAGCGCAAGUGACGUACCUGCAGAAGAGACACCGGCUAACUACGUGACCAGCAGCCGAC